CCUACGGGAGGCAGCAGUGGGGAAUAUUGGGCAAUGGGCGCAAGCCUGACCCAGCAACGCCGCGUGAAGGAAGAAGGCUUUCGGGUUGUAAACUUCUUUUCUGAGGGACGAAGAAAGUGAUGGUACCUCAGGAAUAAGCCACGGUGAACUACGCGCCAGCAGCCGCGGUAAUCCGUGGGCGGCAAGCGUUCUCCGGUUUUGUUGGGUGUAAAGGGGGUGUAGGCGGGAAAGCAAGUCAGAUGUGAAAACCCAGGGCUCAACCCUGAGCCUGCCUUUGAAACUGUUUUGCUUGAGUGCUGGAGAGGCAAGCGGAAUUCCGUGUGUAGCGGUGAAAUGCGUAGAUAUACGGAGGAACACCAGUGGCGAAGGCGGAUUGCUGGACAGUAACUGACGCUGAGGCGCGAAAGCGUGGGGAGCAAACAGGAUUAGAUACCCUAGUAGUC
rnacentral:rRNA from 1 species